rnacentral:rRNA from 1 species
GAGACCCAUGCCCACUGUUGCUAACGCGACCCGUGAGGGUUGGCGAGUACACGGUGGGGACCGCUGGCGCUAAGUCAGAGGAAGGGGUGGUCGACGGUAGGUCAGUAUGCCCCGAAUAUCCCGGGCUACACGCGGGCUACAAUGGACAGGACAAUGGGCUACUACACCGAAAGGUGGCGUCAAUCUCUUAAACCUGCCCUUAGUUCGGAUUGUGGGCUGCAACUCGCCCACAUGAAGCUGGAAUCCGUAGUAAUCGCGGAUCAACAUUCCGCGGUGAAUAU